CCCUCAAGUGGCCUACCGGGUCAGUGUGUCUGGCUGUUAACUAGAAGGUUGGUGGUUUGAGCCCACCCAGGGA